UUUUUUCAUUUUGUGUAUGCACUGUGUUAAUUCGAUCUGAGACACCUUAGCAAAUAUCUACGGCCAUUAGUUUUCUGAGAAAAGCGUGUGUGGCCAUUGAAAGGAAAAUGGUGACAAUGACUUAAGACUAUAGUAGGGCCACACUGACGUUGUCAACAUGCUACUGACAGCGGCCUUUUUUGCAUGAUCCUUUUUACUCAGGUAUUUUGAUGUGCAUGUAUGAAACAACUAUCUAGAGUGCACGUGUAGGAAAGUAGAAGAGAAAUCUAAGCACUUUGGCACUUAGAGAGCAUUACUGCUGGUCUGCUGCCCACAUUUGAUGACCGCAUAGGCAUAUGAAAUGAAACGCAAGAAGGCAUUGGAUGAGAUAAAAGGAUAUGAUGAGACUAAAAGGAUAUGAUGAGAUGAAAAGUAUACGAUGAGACUAAAAUGAUACAAUGAGACUAAAAGGAUACGAAAAGAUGAGUGUAGCUUGGACCUUCAUGAUUGUUUUUGGCCACAUACAGUACACUUAUGGAAAUGAAGAAAAGAAUUGUACGAGCUAACUUGUAGCCAUAAUGAGCCAUAUCUUUUAUUUUACUUUGUUUAAGCCUACAAUUUGUAUAUGUACCUUGAAAAGAGCAAUAGUUUUAUACUGUGGAA